rnacentral:pre_miRNA from 1 species
GUUAUACUUUCUCGUCCGGAAAUAUUUGUCGAAGCAAUGGAUGUAUAUCUAGACAUAUUUUAGUUUUAGAUACAUUCAUUAUUUAUUCAUUUCGACGACAAGUAUUUUUCGAACGGAGGAAGUACUAC